CAGAUUAUAGCUUAGUAAGUUUUUUAUUUACAUUAAAAAGAUAGUUGUUAGAUCAACUUAAUUUGA
rnacentral:tRNA from 1 species